rnacentral:lncRNA from 1 species
GGUUAUGUCUUCAUCCAUCCACAAUACGAGGAGAUUACAGUAGGUUGAUAUGCAUCUGUAAUGCGUGACCUUCCCCACACCCUGGUUUACCAACACAGCACACUGCUAAGAGUGGCUUCCCCUUAUGAUGGAAGGGCUGAGUGGAAGUCUCUGAGCAUCACAAGAAUGUAUCUGAUAUCUUGAGGGCUAAUCUUGGAAAAGAUAGAAAUUGAAAAAAAUAAAGGAAGUUUCCUGCUUGAGUGUGUAUUGGCUUUGCAUUGUUAAAAAGUGGAAAGCUUAGGUUAAAACUUGCUACAUUAGGGGCUGUCCGUUGUAAUUCAUUGCUUGCCUAUGUACCUUUGUAAGCAUUUUAGAAAAGGAACUUUCUCACUGUGGUUUCCCUUGCACCUCGAGCACUGUCUUGUACACUGUUUUUACCCAUAAGUAGAUGUUUUAAGAAUUAUGAAAUGAAUGCUAAAAAAACCUGGCAGGCAAGAAGGAAUUCUCUAACUUAAAUGUCCAAAUAUGGAGAUACUUGAACACUCCGAAGAGCCCUCACUCUGGUGAUACCACAUGUAAUGUAAUUGCAUAUGACUCCAAUGAGGAAAAAGGUUGCCUGGCCAAGUUACAACUUCUGUUUUCUGCCUCUUACAUUCAAGUUUCUUUGGGUGUGCGUGUGUGGAGUGUGUGCGUGUGCAUCUGCGUGUGCGUGUGACAAACACAUAGUGCCAUUGUUUAAGAUAAUACUCCAGUUAUUUGGUAGACUAGAAAUUUGAACUCUUAGUCCAAUUUAAAAAAAAUGCAAGAGUCUGGUCACCAAACCUUCAAGAAGGUCUAAGCCACCCGAGUGUUAAUUUCAUAUACACGGGUGGGUGGCUUUAGGGAGAGACAGUCUAUACAGUUGCAAAAGGGCAUUUGUUUUCUUUGGAUUUCAUUAGUAGCAAAGUACCUAGCCUUUUCAUAUAUGUAGAUUUAGUGUGUGGAUGUGUGGGUGGGUGUUCGUGUCAUGAACAUGAUGUGACUCACGUGUGGAGGUCAGAGGAUCACCUUUGGCAGUCUGUUCUUCCCUUCCACCACGUGGGUUCUGAGCAUAGAACUCAGGCUGCCAGGGUUAGCAGCAGAUGCCUUCACCUACUGAGCCAUCCUGCCAGCCCUGGACUUCCUUGGAAAGGAGAGUGUAUAUAACAAGCACAUGGGUUAGGAAUCUGAAUCUGAAGGGUGAAUGAGGUGAUCCAAUCCUUUUAAAAAAGGUUCAGUUUUUAUUGUUUAGGAGGUUUUAAGUGCUCAAUAUAGAAAUCCUGGAAUAUGUAGUUAUUUGAACCAUCAAAUGCCCCUCAGAAGAAUGAUCACUUUUUUUAAAAUAGAAAAUUAACACGUUUCUUUUGGCAGCAGGGUCUUCCUUACCAUGAUUUAGUAUUACAUUAGUUAUUAUCCAAAAAAAAAAAAAAAACCCCUUGGCUUCUUAAAAGUGUCUUACUUGAAGUGUGAAGGCUACCUCAGAUGCUGGAAUGGCCAGAGAAGGGAGUGUGAAGGAAACUGAAUAAGUAAAAGGGGACCUGGUGAUGAUCCCCUCUGAACCCCGGGUGUGGGGAAUUGAACCUGUGUCCCUUUUGCAUGGAAAGCAAGUGCUGUACUACUGAGUACUCUUAAGUCAUAGCUGCAAAGCUGGGCAUGGGGAUGUACACCUGCAAUCCUAGCACUUGGGAAACAGAGGCAGGGGCAUUUCUGCAAGUUCCAGGUGGGGCAGGUAUGUAGAGAACCCGGACUUAGGAGAGACAGCAGUGGUAUUGACACCCCCUCCCAUCUGGUUGCUCUGUCUUAUAUAAGUUGAAAAUAUAUAAUGAAAAGAAUUCAUUAUUAGAUGAAAUUUCAAGCCACUGACUUAAAGUAACCUGUGGUUUAGCAUGAGUAAGGCUUUAUUAAAGCACAUAUAUUUAAGAUAUUUAACCUUUAUUUUGUGGAUUAAGGCAACACUGUUCAUGAUACUUAUUUUGCUGAACGCAGUCUCAGCAGAGCGCCUACCCCUCUUCUUUCACCUUCUGUGUUUACACUGAAGCAAAGUAGUCAUUCCAUUGGUUACUUUACAUUAUAACUAAGAAAUUGAGGGUAGGGCAAUUUCAAAUAGGUUAGCUUUGCACAAGGCAGAGGGCUAUAGUUCCGUACAAGUCAAUGUUUAUAGAACGUAGAGGGGAAUUGGUUCAAUUGGCCUGACUAGAGUUGUUGGGAAUAUUUAGGGACAGGGAGGGCUUGCUAAGGGAUGUUUUCCAGGGUCAGUAUUGAAAAAUCUCCUGGUUGGCAAGAGAUGUUCCUGGGCACAGUGCGUAGCGUAAUCGUUGGAAAGUUAUGUACCUUGGCCCUGGAAUGUUUAGGCAAAUAUUUGACUAGUCCAUUUAAAUUCUCCAUCAUUACACUGCAGCACCGAGGAAG